rnacentral:pre_miRNA from 1 species
UGACUGAGAGAAUUGUGCACUUUGUUUUUUUUUAAGUGCACAAUAAGCUUUCAGCUUAUC